AUGUCAUCCCGUGAGGUGACGAAGACGCAGAAAUACUUGAAACUCUUUAAAGUCUAGAUUUUAGAGAAGUCUUACUCUGAGGGCCUAUUGCUGUA
rfam:Streptococcus sp. DORA_10 Q617_SPSC00264, whole genome shotgun sequence.